rnacentral:lncRNA from 1 species
GCUGCAGAGGCCGUGGAUCGCCUGGUGGAUGCCUUUCGGGGAGGCAUCAGGUGGAGAUCUAGUAGGGGAAGGAGAGGAGGACAUCGAAAAAGAUGACUGGAGGCAAUCCCGUUGAGCACUCCUUCAAGAAUAAGGGUACUGUAAAGACACAGCCCCCCUUCCUCUAGCAUCAAUUCUGUUGGUGCAGAAUUCUGUCGAAGCUGGAGUUGCUGGAGUCGAGAUGACCACGGCUGCCAUCGGGACCUGCAAGGGAAGUCUAAACC